UCCUCCUACCUUUGAUUGUGAUGUCCAUAUUUUCUAAAUGCUCAUCCUCUUGACAAGAGAAGAGAUCAAUUUCACUUGGUUCAUACUCAAAUUUAUGGUAUUCUAGCUCUUUCUCAGGAUCAUAACCAAUAUAAUGGGCAUAAUCCUUAGUCAAAGAGUUGUUAGUGUGAUUAAUUCCAUAGAAAGGUUGUCUUACUAGAGUUUCCGUUUCAUUUGAAUCACAGUGGUAGUCUAAUGACCUCAAAUC
rnacentral:misc_RNA from 1 species